CUACGGGAUGCUGCAGUGAGAAAUAUUGCACAAUGGGGGGAACCCUGAUGCAGCAACGCCGCGUGGAAGAUGACGCAUUUCGGUGUGUAAACUCCUUUUAUAUGUCAAGAAAAUGACGGUAGCAUAUGAAUAAGCACCGGCUAACUCCGUGCCAGCAGCCGCGGUAAUACGGAGGGUGCAAGCGUUACUCGGAAUCACUGGGCGUAGAGGACGCGUAGGCGGGUUGGAAAGUCAGGUGUGAAAUCCUACAGCUUAACUGUAGAACUGCACUUGAAACUUCUAAUCUAGAGUAUGGGAGGGGGAGAUGGAAUUAGUGGUGUAGGGGUAAAAUCCGUAGAUAUCACUAGGAGUACCUAAAGCGAAGGCGAUCUCCUGGAACAUUACUGACGCUAAGGCGUGAAAGCGUGGGGAGCAAACAGGAUUAGAUACCCUCGUAGUC
rnacentral:rRNA from 1 species